UCCGUGCCAGCAGCCGCGGUAAUACGGAGGGGGUUAGCGUUGUUCGGAAUUACUGGGCGUAAAGCGCACGUAGGCGGAUCGGAAAGUUGGGGUGAAAUCCCGGGGCUCAACCCCGGAACCUGCCUCCAAAACUAAUCGGUCUAGAGUUCGAGAGAGGUGAGUGGAAUUCCGAGUGUAGAGGUGAAAAUUCGUAGAUAUUCGGAGGAACACCAGUGGCGAAGGCGGCUCACUGGCUCGAUACUGACGCUGAGGUGCGAAAGUGUGGGGAGCAAACAGGAUUAGAUACCCUGGUAG
rnacentral:rRNA from 1 species